AAUACACCAUCAAAAUGGCUGUGAAUUUAAGAACUGGAUGGUAACGGACUGUGAAAUCCAGCGAUGAUCCAACCUGGUGAUAUUACGAACAAAAAGAGCUCUCAGCCACACUUGCAGCUGUUGCUAUCACUUCUCACUGACUCAACGGACCUUCUACGCUUCAGAGUGACACAGAGACAGAUCACCCGGGGAGAACUUCAAGGGUCCAAGAAGUUUCCUCUCGUUCCAUAAUCAACUUUUUAGCUGCCAGACAAGCUCAAUUCUCGCUCUUGCUGGGCUCUGGAUGGUGCUAGAAGCUGGUACAGAAAAAAGCUCUGACUACAGGGAAGCAGGCCAGCGGAUAAUUACUCCUCAGUGCAACCCUCAGAGCUGGCCUAAUCCGAAAGCUCAAGUGCCCGUAAGUAAAACUUCAGGAAAAGUUAUUGAAACUGACAAAUACAG